UGAAAUGCAAGUGCCUUAAGUCGUUACUUAUGUCAAUCUUAUGUUGAAGCGUUUAAGUGUAUGUUUAAGUGUUAUAAUCAUAGAUGUUCACAAUUAUACCAAUAUAACUGUUAUUAAACAUUGAACUUUUUUAAAUUUAAAUAUUUUGUUAAUUUACGAUCACUUCUUCAAGAGCAACUUAAUGCCAAACCUAAACAGAUAACCUAUGAAAUCAGUUUGAUGUAUUCAUGAAUUUACAUAUACCAAUCGGGUAGGGGGAAAGACUUCACCCGAGGAAGGCAUGCUAAAAUCCACCCUCCGAAUAUCAAGAAUGGCGUCCAAAAAAUAUUAAUUGAGUAAAAGAUUCUGGUGAGAGCCAAUUAUUCCAACACUUAAUAAAAACAAAACACCAUUUACAUCGAGUGACUCCGGGCAAAAAGGUCUUUUAUACCAAACGAAAGGAAAAGAAAGAAAUCGAUCUUCUUCCCCAAGAAAAUGAAACGUUAAAAAAAACGCAAACCCAUUUGCAAGUGAAUAUUUGCGAACAUGAAAUAAAAACACGAAAAUGAAUAAGAAGAGCUAGAAAGAGAAACGGAAAGAUCCUCAAAAAAGACGAAGCAAUAAAUGUAAAGCUUACUUUUCAUUUUCUUCAAAAAACGAUGCAAGUAUGAACCAAAAAUACAAAUAAGAAAAAAAAAAACAGUUAACCGAUUAAUGUUGUCAUGGUUGCAGAGAG